rnacentral:rRNA from 1 species
CCGUACACAAAAGCGCAUGUGCUGUGAGCUCGAUGAGUAGGGCGGGACACGUGGUAUCCUGUCUGAAUAUGGGGGGACCAUCCUCCAAGGCUAAAUACUCCUGACUGACCGAUAGUGAACCAGUACCGUGAGGGAAAGGCGAAAAGAACCCCGGCGAGGGGAGUGAAAAAGAACCUGAAACCGUGUACGUACAAGCAGUGGGAGCACAGGUUUACCUGUGUGACUGCGUACCUUUUGUAUAAUGGGUCAGCGACUUAUAUUCUGUAGCAAGGUUAACCGAAUAGGGGAGCCGGAGGGAAACCGAGUCUUAAUUGGGCGUUAAGUUGCAGGGUAUAGACCCGAAACCCGGUGAUCUAGCCAUGGGCAGGUUGAAGGUUGGGUAACACUAACUGGAGGACCGAACCGACUAAUGUUGAAAAAUUAGCGGAUGACCUGUGGCUGGGGGUGAAAGGCCAAUCAAACCGGGAGAUAGCUGGUUCUCCCCGAAAGCUAUUUAGGUAGCGCCUCGUGAAUUCAUCUCCGGGGGUAGAGCACUGUUUCGGCUAGGGGGCCAUCCCGGCUUACCAACCCGAUGCAAACUGCGAAUACCGGAGAAUGUUAUCACGGGAGACACACGGCGGGUGCUAACGUCCGUCGUGAAGAGGGAAACAACCCAGACCGCCAGCUAAGGUCCCAAAGUCAUGGUUAAGUGGGAAACGAUGUGGGAAGGCCCAGACAGCCAGGAUGUUGGCUUAGAAGCAGCCAUCAUUUAAAGAAAGCGUAAUAGCUCACUGGUCGAGUCGGCCUGCGCGGAAGAUGUAACGGGGCUAAACCAUGCACCGAAGCUGCGGCAGCGAACGUAUCACCCAAGACAACUUUACGGAGUUGACGAUUGACGGAGCGAAGCGACGUCAAAGCGUUCAUUAAAGUCGAGUUGGCUUAGGGAUACGUUCGUUGGGUAGGGGAGCGUUCUGUAAGCCUGUGAAGGUGUGUCGUGAGGCAUGCUGGAGGUAUCAGAAGUGCGAAUGCUGACAUAAGUAACGAUAAAGCGGGUGAAAAGCCCGCUCGCCGGAAGACCAAGGGUUCCUGUCCAACGUUAAUCGGGGCAGGGUGAGUCGACCCCUAAGGCGAGGCCGAAAGGCGUAGUCGAUGGGAAACGGGUUAAUAUUCCCGUACUUGGUGUUACUGCGAAGGGGGGACGGAGAAGGCUAUGUUGGCCGGGCGACGGUUGUCCCGGUUUAAGCGUGUAGGUGUGUGUUCCAGGUAAAUCCGGUUCAC